GCGGGAGUGGCGGAAUUGGCAGACGCGCUAGCCUCAGGAGCUAGUGGAGUAAAAUCCGUGGAGGUUCAAAUCCUCUCUUCCGCACCA
rnacentral:tRNA from 1 species